CUUUAUGGGGUGAUAUAAAGUCGUGCCUGCUCACUGAAUUUAAUUGAAGAGCCGCGGUAUUCUGACCGUGCAAAGGUAGCAUAAUCAUUAGCUUUUUAAUUGAGGGCUGGAAUGAAUGGUUUGACGAAGCAAAAGCUGUCUUUUAUAUAUUGAUUGAAUUUUACUUUUAAGUUAAAAGGCUUAAAUUAGGAAUGGGGACGAGAAGACCCUAUAGAUCUUUACUGAUGAAAUUUUAUGAAUAAUUUAGUUGUGGAUUUUUUAUGAAGUUUUAUGAGUUUUGUUGGGGUGAUGAGAGAAUAAAAGUAACUUCUCUGAAUGUUACUUUGAUGUAUGGUUAAGGGAUCCUUUAUUAUGGAUAUAAGAUUAAGAUACCUUAGGGAUAACAGCGUUAUUUUAUUUGAGAGUUCUUAUCGACAAUAAAGAUUGCGACCUCGAUGUUGGAUUAAGAUUAUCGAUUGGUGUAGUGGCUAAUGUGAAUUGGUCUGUUC
rnacentral:rRNA from 1 species